CCUACGGGAGGCAGCAGUGGGGAAUAUUGGUCAAUGGGGGAAACCCUGAAGCAGCAACGCCGCGUGAAGGAUGAAUGAUCUCGGAGUGUAAAACUCUUUUGAUAGAGAAGAUAAGUACGGUACCUGACGAAUAAGCUCCGGCUAACUCCGUGACAGCAGCCGCGGUAAUACGGAGGGUGCAAGCGUUAUUCGGAGUUACUGGGCGUAAAGGGGGCGUAGGCGGGUUAUCAAGUCAGAUGUGAAAUCCUAGGGCUUAACCAUAGAACUGCAUUUGAUACUGUUAUUCUGGAGUAUGGGAGAGGUAGGCGGAAUUCGUGGUGUAGCGGUGAAAUGCUUAGAUAUCAAGAGGAACUCCGAUUGCGAAGGCGGCUUACUAGACCAUAACUGACGUUGAUGCGCGAAAGCGUGGGGAGCAAACAGGAUUAGAUACCCGAGUAGUC
rnacentral:rRNA from 1 species